rnacentral:tRNA from 1 species
AGCGAGGUGGGGUAGUCAGGAGAUCCCGUCGGGCUCAUAACCCGAAGACCAAUGGUUCAAAUCCAUUCCUCGCUA